UGGCUCAGUUGGUUGAGCAUGGCGCUGGCAACGCCAGGGUUGUGGGUGUGAUUCCCAC
rfam:Salmo salar isolate Sally breed double haploid chromosome ssa01, whole genome shotgun sequence.